AUCACCAUCAUCAGUGGAUGCCUUUGCCAUCCGUAGCCUGAGAUUUCAGAUUUGCAGCAAAAAAAUUUGAUUUUCUCAUUUAUUGGAAUGCUAUGCAGGUUGUACCUUGCAGCCAUCCAUUACAAUGUCACCAAGCCGUAACAAAAGCAGGAGAGGGAAAGUACAAGGCUAUGUUCCCAAAACACAAAUGACAUACCUUAUGUGGAUGAUGUGAUCAGGCUUGUGUUUGAUGAGGUAUUUGAAGAUAAGCUGAAGGAAACCCCGAUUCCAAUGGACCUGGCAUCACAGUUUGAGAGACCUUCAAAGGAGGACGUGAUUGCAGGCCAUCUUCAGUGCAGGGGUCGUCGAAAGCCAAAAUUGUGACCGAUCUGAUCAGGAAGCUCCAAGCAUAUCUGGAGAACAAACCACGACAGGAUGAUAACCUUAUAGUGUCGUCUUAGAUAGCACCAGCUGACAAAGCUUUGAUAUGCCAUUUAUCUGAAU